rnacentral:rRNA from 1 species
UUAGAGGCUUGUAUGAAUGGUUGAAUGAGGAAUUAACUUUUUUAUUUUAAAAAAUUGAAAUUAAAUUUUUAGUAAAAAUGCUAAAAUAUUUAUAUAAGACGAGAAGACCCUUUAAAUCUUUAUUAUUUUAACUAUAAUUUUUUAUUUAAUAUGAUUUAUUAGUAUAAUUAAAAUAAUUUUAUUGGGGUGAUAUUGAAAUUUAAUUAACUUUCAAUUUUUAUUUCAUAAAUAAAUGAAUUUUUGAUCCAUUAUUAAUGAU